rnacentral:lncRNA from 1 species
AUGCAAGCCGUGCCCCACCUAGCUCCGGAGAGGUGGGCCGGGCUCGGCGCCCCUUCCCCUUGCUCCUCGUGCUCCUGCCCUCCUGAGCCGCUGUCCGAACGCUCUCUUUCUUCUCCGUCACUUUCGUCUGCCUUCUCUCCGCCUCCCUGCCCGCGCCGUGCUGCCCUGCCCAGCUCCUCUCCAGCCGGGCCUCCUGCUCCAUCCCCGGCUUUGCCCAGGGCAGGAACCGCACCUCCGUGGGCGCCUCCGGCCUCCGGUACAGCCCGUGGGGCACGGCCAGCCUGGCCGCCCCGGGGGCCCUGGCUGCACCGGGAGGGCCCCCAUCCGGACACGGGGUCCCUUCAGCAGCCCCCCCUUGGGGCAGGGCUGUCCGCCCCUGCGGGGUGGCUUGUGCCAACGGCCACUGCUCCUUCUUCCUCACUUCCCCAACGCUUUCUUGCUGCGCACUCUUCCUCGCCUCCUCCGCUGCCGUGCCGCCCCGCGCCGGGGCUUUGCGCCCCCGCUGCCCUCCCGGCUCCGGCUCCCCGUUGGGCCCCACCAGCGCCACGCUGGAGAGGGCCAGGUGCUGGAUGACGUGCGUGCUCUCCGCCGGCGCAGAAACCUUGGGCGGCUGCACCUUGCGCCCGCCGGUGCUCGGCAAGGAGGGGGUGCGGGGGGCACGGAGCCCGCUCUGUGCCCACGGAGAGGGGGAAAGGAGCCAGCAGGAUCAGCACCCGGCUGCAGCCCUGCCCUGCUGCACGGGGGGGUGAGACCUGGCCCUGCCUCGCUUCUCCCCACAUCCUGCACAGACCCCCCCUGCCCAUACGGGGGGCCUGGCGGGGGGCUUCUCCAUCCCUAGCUAUGGCCAUGGGGUUAUGGGGACUGGAGGGGGAGAAGGGGCACUUGGGGCCACGGAGCAUGGCCCUCAGAGCCUGCCAGAGCUGGGCACGUGGAGCCCAGCACCGUGCGGUGCCGGUGCCACGGUUGUGGGACAGACGGGGCAGGGGCCGAGGUGAGGCAUUGGGUGGCCCUCCUGGGGUCCCCAGCGCACAGCCAGGACCCUGCCCUGCCACGCAGGUGGCCCUGGGCUCGCUGCCCUCUAGGGCAGACGGGGCAGCCAGGCGGUGCCCCAGGGGGAAGGAUGCCCCCUUUUGGGCAGGGCUGCCACCUCCCCACCGCAGCACGGGGCAUCCACAUCCCCAAACACAUCCUGCGCCCCUCGGAGGGGGCUGCGGUGACAUCCCCUCCCCAGCCCCUGUGGGGACACUGGGCAGGCUGACAGCAGGGUGGCUGCGUGCCCCACACCGGGUGGAUGAGCGGGGUGGUCCGGCGUGCCCCACGGGGGGCUCCCUGGAAGGAUGCCCCCCAUCCUCUCCCCCUGCCGAGGCCGAGUGACGUCCUUGCUCCUUGCUCAGCGGCGGAGCGUGCGGCGAGGCCGCGGAGGAGCUCUGCCUGUGCCAGGCAUGCUCCUGACGCGGAGGGGAUGACGCAUGCAAAGCCUCGGCUCC